rnacentral:rRNA from 1 species
UACGUAGGGGGCAAGCGUUGUCCGGAUUUAUUGGGCGUAAAGAGCGUGUAGGCGGCCAGACAGGUCCGUUGUGAAAACUCGAGGCUCAACCUCGAGACGCCGAUGGAAACCGUCUGGCUAGAGUCCGGAAGAGGAGAGUGGAAUUCCUGGUGUAGCGGUGAAAUGCGCAGAUAUCAGGAGGAACACCGGUGGCGAAGGCGGCAUCCUGGACCGGCAUUGACGCUGAGGCGCGAAAGCCAGGGGAGCAAACGGG